rnacentral:lncRNA from 1 species
AUGCCGGUGUACCUGGGAAGGCUGCAGAUCUCUCUGAGCUGGAUCUUAAGAACGUGUGCUCAGACUGUCCCGCCGGCCCACCCGGAACCCCCGGCCUGCCCGGCGUUCUGGGAGAGAAGGGACACAACGGCCUCCCCGGGAAGAGCGGUCAAGAUGGCUACCCAGGCCAGGUGGGGCCGACGGGGCCCGCGGGGCCCCCAGGGGCCGACGGGACCAAGGCAAGUGGAUCAUCCUUAUGGGGCCUCCAGGGAGAGACCCCGUGGCUCUCCCCCCGCCGAAGCCCACGGUAGCACAUCUCAAAAUAGUUCUCUGUCGAGGAUCAACUCUAAAAUGUAUUUUCUUUUCCGCCCUGAACAAACUGAAGGGAAUCAAAGGAGACCGUGGACCCGCCGGGACCAACGGAGACAAGGGGGAGAAGGUAGGCCCACAACCCCCCAUUGGGCUGAUUCACUUGUCUGUGAAUAUACCAGUGAACCUCUGGAGUCAUCACUUUCUCCUCUUUAA